GAUGAACGCUAGCGGCAGGCUUAACACAUGCAAGUCGAGGGGUAUAGUUCUUCGGAAUUAGAGACCGGCGCACGGGUGCGUAACGCGUAUGCAAUCUACCUUUUGCAGAGGGAUAGCCCAGAGAAAUUUGGAUUAAUACCUCAUAGUAUAGCACAACCGCAUGGUUGAGUUAUUAAAGUCACAACGGCAAAAGAUGAGCG
rnacentral:rRNA from 1 species